UGGAAUAUAUUGGAUGUUUGACGUAAUCAUCAAACAUAAAUAGAAAUUUCGGAAAAAUCAAAUAUUUCGUACUUAUGAUGAUUUAGCCAAUUCGCCUAUAGAUUUACAAAUACAUGAAUAGGCGUGCAUAUAUGUAUGUGAGUAUGUGCACUUUUAAAUACUGUACUGGGUCGGUUUAAGCUUUGACUGGGUGUGAGUGUGUGUGACUGUGUGUGGGUUGACCAAAAGGGAGCCAUUUUAUCGCGUAUGUAUGUAUGGCAAUGUCUUUGAAUGCACACUGUGGAAUCGUGCGGAAAAUGGGAAAAAUACAUUUAGGCGAAAAAGGUAAGCCGUAGCAAGGCCUGAGCUGUUGAAGCCGACGUCGUUGCAAUAUGAGCAUAUGAAUACGUACAAGCGUGGGUGUGUGUCCAGCUGUAUGUUGAACAUGGCUGAGCCUUCUUUCGAUGCUGAGUGCGACGAUGAUGGAAUUGCAAUUAUACUGAUUCAGCUUACCUGUAAU